GCCCCGGUCGUAUAGCCCGGUCAAGUAUGCCGGCCUCUCGAGCCGGAGAACGCCUGCGAGGGCGUACGGAGAACCCGGGUUCAAAUCCCGGCCGGGGCACCA
rnacentral:tRNA from 1 species